UGCAAGUCGAACGGUAACAGGGAGCUUGCUCCGCUGACGAGUGGCGAACGGGUGAGUAAUGCGUCGGAACGUGCCGAGUAGUGGGGGAUAACGCAUCGAAAGGUGUGCUAAUACCGCAUACGUACUGAGGUAGAAAGUGGGGGACCUUCGGGCCUCACGCUAUUCGAGCGGCCGACGUCUGAUUAGCUAGUUGGUGAGGUAAAGGCUCACCAAGGCGACGAUCAGUAGCGGGUCUGAGAGGAUGAUCCGCCACACUGGGACUGAGACACGGCCCAGACUCCUACGGGAGGCAGCAGUGGGGAAUUUUGGACAAUGGGCGCAAGCCUGAUCCAGCCAUGCCGCGUGUCUGAAGAAGGCCUUCGGGUUGUAAAGGACUUUUGUCCGGGAGCAAAUGCCUGGUGUUAAUAGCACUGGGAGCUGAGAGUACCGGAAGAAUAAGCACCGGCUAACUACGUGCCAGCAGCCGCGGUAAUACGUAGGGUGCAAGCGUUAAUCGGAAUUACUGGGCGUAAAGCGUGCGCAGGCGGUUUUGUAAGCCAGAUGUGAAAGCCCCGGGCUCAACCUGGGAACUGCGUUUGGAACUACAAGACUAGAGUGUGUCAGAGGGGGGUGGAAUUCCGCGUGUAGCAGUGAAAUGCGUAGAGAUGCGGAGGAACACCGAUGGCGAAGGCAGCCCCCUGGGAUAACACUGACGCUCAUGCACGAA
rnacentral:rRNA from 1 species